UCGUUUAUCUGAUUCAUACCCUCUUUCUUUUUCUGCUACUACGAUCCUUCUCCUCUCUCGAAGAGAAUUCCUCCGUUUUUAUUUUUGCGAUAUAUGUUUGCAGGAAAUUUAGUAGGCUAAAUUUAAUCAGGAAUACGAUGCAGAGGAAAAUAACAAGAAGGCAUGUGGCUGGAAGAGGAAAUAGAUUCCGCUUUUGAUAGCUUAUAUCCAGGAAAGACACCUGGAUUUAAAGGAAGUUGCGGAUCAAAUGCACAUGGGAAUAGGUCUGAAAAGUUUCAAGGUGUUGGGAUUGCUUCGCGUUGUUAUAGCUGUUCUUACGACUUCUAAGUCAUUUGCAGAAGAAUGCAGAUGGUAGGUUACUAGCAUACUGCUUCACCAAUCGGCUGGCAUAGUUGCGCCCAUGAGUAAUUGUAUGGUUGAUGCAUUGAGGAUAACAGUAUGGAAUGAAGGUUUUGGAGCAUUUGGAAAGAGUUUGAUUGGUGAAGGUCAGGCUUUUUUCCAGGUUCCAAUACCACACCCUCAUAUUUGUGAUGUUUUCACUGGCGUCAUCUUUUUUUUUUCUUGACCCUUGAUCGAUAGUAUUUGUAUCAAAAGAUGAAUACCUACCAACCAAAAUUAUGAUGAAAAUAAAAAUUGUUGUUAUGGUGAUAACUGUUGGGUGUUCUGAAAAUUUGGGAGUAUGCUUAUUUAGUUAUUUUUCGGAAUAUAAAAAUUGGUAGACAA